rnacentral:misc_RNA from 1 species
GUCCGACUAGAAGGGGAUGGCGUGAGGGGGCAGCACCCUCACCACUUCUACCGAGAAGACUGUAAAUGGAUGUAGUUCGGCCCUGACGUCUAGAACCAAAAACUUCAACUGGCAUCACAUGAAGGGUUUCAUUAGAGAAACUAUGGUCCCUACCAAAAACUUCAAUAUGAUCAAGAACAUUUAUCCCAUUGAUACCCUCCUCCCCGUAGUAUAACCCCAUCCUCAUCUUCCUCCUCAUCUUCAUCAUCUUCCUCCAACAAUUCUUCUUCAAACUCAUCAUCAUCAAUAUCAUGAUCAUCUUGGUCAGUGUCAGUAUGGGGCAAGUGAUGCACUUCAUCCUCUUCCAGAUCAUUAUGCUCCUCAUCAUCUUCAUCAUCGUCGUCGUCGUCAUCAUCAUCAUCAUCCUCAUCCUCAUCCACCUCGUCCCCAUCAUCGCCAGACAUCUCCUCAUCUUCAUCUUCAUCAAGAGUUUCUUGCCCAUGAGGCUGGAUUUCAAAUUGUAUACCAACAGUAUCCAUGCCAUUUUCAAGAUCCCUUGUGUCCUCAGAAGUUUCCUGCAUAUAGUCAUCCUCAUUAGCAGGGGCAAAACCACCAUCAAGAUCU